rnacentral:rRNA from 1 species
UCCUCCCUCUUUCUUCGUGCUUAACACAUGCAAGUCGAACGGAAAGGCCCUGCUUUUGUGGGGUGCUCGAGUGGCGAACGGGUGAGUAACACGUGAGUAACCUGCCCUUGACUUUGGGAUAACUUCAGGAAACUGGGGCUAAUACCGGAUAGGAGCUCCUGCUGCAUGGUGGGGGUUGGAAAGCUUCGGCGGUUGGGGAUGGACUCGCGGCUUAUCAGCUUGUUGGUGGGGUAGUGGCUUACCAAGGCUUUGACGGGUAGCCGGCCUGAGAGGGUGACCGGCCACAUUGGGACUGAGAUACGGCCCAGACUCCUACGGGAGGCAGCAGUGGGGAAUAUUGCACAAUGGGCGGAAGCCUGAUGCAGCAACGCCGCGUGCGGGAUGACGGCCUUCGGGUUGUAAACCGCUUUCGCCUGUGACGAAGCGUGAGUGACGGUAAUGGGUAAAGAAGCACCGGCUAACUACGUG